rnacentral:lncRNA from 1 species
UGGCGGGUUCCACGUCGGCAUACAGGGCCAUGCAAAUGCCACGUGGCAGGGUGUACCCCGCCACCAUGCAUGGCGGGGUGCAGUGAUUUUGCCCCGCCAUGCAUGGUGGCGGGGCCAAACGGCCUAGAUUUGAAAUUUUUUUCAAAAACGUAUCAAAAUUGAAAUUUGUUUUAAAAAUGGGCUAAAAAUAAAAAAAAAUUCGACUCAGAUGGGCUACAAGCAGGCUGUCCGCAAUGGCCCUGACUGGUGAAUCCAUGCUACUACGGUCAGACCUGGGUGACCAAGUGAAACCACUCUGAAGUUGUGUGUGUGUGUUUUACUAUAUAGCCUAGUAUGUUCUUGUGGAAGGGGUUAUCAACUAUUGUAACAAACAUAUUAUCCUACUGCAAAGAUUCGUCGUCUGUUCCUGCCCCUUUUAUUGUGCUGCUCCUCUCAAUUCCGAUUCAUCUGUUCCUCUCCCAAUCCUCUGUUAACAAAUUUGGAAUCAGAUCCUACGAUUCCUCAGCCUACCUCUCAAUUCUCCACAAAUUUUUUCUCUGCACCCGUUCCCACCCUUCCGUCGCG